UGCUAUACAUGCAGUCGUACGCUAGCCGCUGAAUUGAUCCUUCGGGUGAAGUGAGGCAAUGACUAGAGUGGCGAACUGGUGAGUAACACGUAAGAAACCUGCCCUUUAGUGGGGGAUAACAUUUGGAAACAGAUGCUAAUACCGCGUAACAACAAAUCACACAUGUGAUCUGUUUGAAAGGUCCUUUUGGAUCGCUAGAGGAUGGUCUUGCGGCGUAUUAGCUUGUUGGUAGGGUAGAAGCCUACCAAGGCAAUGAUGCGUAGCCGAGUUGAGAGACUGGCCGGCCACAUUGGGACUGAGACACUGCCCAAACUCCUACGGGAGGCUGCAGUAGGGAAUUUUCCGCAAUGCACGAAAGUGUGACGGAGCGACGCCGCGUGUGUGAUGAAGGCUUUCGGGUCGUAAAGCACUGUUGUAAGGGAAGAAUAACUGAAUUCAGAGAAAGUUUUCAGCUUGACGGUACCUUACCAGAAAGGGAUGGCUAAAUACGUGCCAGCAGCCGCGGUAAUACGUAUGUCCCGAGCGUUAUCCGGAUUUAUUGGGCGUAAAGCGAGCGCAGACGGUUUAUUAAGUCUGAUGUGAAAUCCCGAGGCCCAACCUCGGAACUGCAUUGGAAACUGAUUUACUUGAGUGCGAUAGAGGCAAGUGGAACUCCAUGUGUAGCGGUGAAAUGCGUAGAUAUGUGGAAGAACACCAGUGGCGAAAGCGGCUUGCUAGAUCGUAACUGACGUUGAGGCUCGAAAGUAUGGGUAGCAAACGGGAUUAGAUACCCCGGUAGUCCAUACCGUAAACGAUGGGUGCUAGUUGUUAAGAGGUUUCCGCCUCCUAGUGACGUAGCAAACGCAUUAAGCACCCCGCCUGAGGAGUACGGCCGCAAGGCUAAAACUUAAAGGAAUUGACGGGGACCCGCACAAGCGGUGGAGCAUGUGGUUUAAUUCGAAGAUACGCGAAAAACCUUACCAGGUCUUGACAUACCAAUGAUCGCUUUUGUAAUGAAAGCUUUUCUUCGGAACAUUGGAUACAGGUGGUGCAUGGUCGUCGUCAGCUCGUGUCGUGAGAUGUUGGGUUAAGUCCCGCAACGAGCGCAACCCUUGUUAUUAGUUGCCAGCAUUUAGUUGGGCACUCUAAUGAGAACUGCCGGUGAUAAACCGGAAGAAAGUGGGGG
rnacentral:rRNA from 1 species